rnacentral:rRNA from 1 species
UACGGGGGGGGGCAAGCGUUGUUCGGAAUUACUGGGCGUAAAGGGCUCGUAGGUGGCCAACUAAGUCAGACGUGAAAUCCCUCGGCUUAACCGGGGAACUGCAUCUGAUACUGGAUGGCUGGAGAUUGGGAGAGGGAUGCGGAAUUCCAGGUGUAGCGGUGAAAUGCGUAGAUAUCGGGAGGAACACCAGUGGCGAAGGCGACUUCCUGGCCUGUUCUUGACGCUGAGGCGCGAAAGCUAGGGGAGCAAACGGGG